GCCGAUGCACAGAUGUAAUACAACAGGGCAGAAAAGCAAUCUUGAGCUGAAUUGUAUGGCUGCAAUAAGAACAUUUUUACCAGGGAUGGGGACUCGAGUUGCGGGACUUGCUGUCAAGUCAGACUUAAAUGACUUCAUUCCCCCCCCCCCAUGACUCAGACUUGACUCACAACUUGGCACCUACUGUACAUACCUCCUCCCUUUUUUUUUAAUGGAAAAAAGCUUGUUUUUAAUAGGGACUUGGGGCUCGGGACUUGGGACUUGAUACCAAAGACUCAGACUUGGACUUGGGAUUUGAACCUAAAGACUUGCCAACAUCCCCGGUUUUUACUGACUCUCACACAAUCUCUUCCACAUUAAAGUUUCCGGGUUUCAUCCCCUGUGGUUGCAGAGCCAAAAGUUGAGACCAGAGGCAGACCCUUCUGGUGUCGUGAUGUCAUAGAGGUGGGGCAAGCAAAGUGCCCCCAGACAUUGAGAUGCCACAGCCAGGGCUUGUCCAACAGGAAGAUGCAGAAGCAUCUCAAAGUCUAGACUUCCAAGUCUGCAAGUGGUGCAGCGAGCUAUUACCAGUAGGUAACAAGUGGAGGGAAAGAGGCAGAGAUGAGUCCUGGAAACAAGAAAAUAGCAGGAUCUCAAGAGGCUUCUUCUUGAACAUGAGGGUUUCCUUGUGAAGCAAUACUGGUUGCAUCCGCAACAGCAUUAAGCUAUGCCCGUUAGUGUGGACGGGGAAGAAAUACUCUUGGGUUCUUAUGCUGUCAGCGCUCCAAUGUCAAAUAACACAACAUACAUGAGGCAGUGUUGACUGGAAGUCUCCAACAAGGCGAUGCCUUCUCUCUACUUCUAAGAAGUCUGCAAGUUAAGUGUAAAAUCGGCAAAACACUGUGGUAAAAGUUAUCUUUCAUCAGUGCUGGUAAUGUUUAACACUUUUUUAAAACUUACUAGCAAAUGGGGAACAUAUUUAGGCCUCAGGGAUCAUGCUGUGAGUAGGGUGCUUGAGCAUCUGUUCCCCAAGAGAGUUUUACUGCAUUCCCCACGAAACAAAGGACUGGAGUGCAAAGUUGCCGAAUUUUCGCUUACUGCUAAGGCUGUUCAGUAGCACCAGAUGCAGAAUCAGACAACUACACUCAGGUUAUCAAUUAGUACCUUGCUUAUUGCUUUUAGAUGUUUCUAGUAGUUUUCAAACUCAGCAUGUAUAAAAGAACCACCACAGUGGAGAGUACAUGCUGGCUGAUCAUUCUACAUACAGAUCUGUCUCUAGGGAAGUAUGGACAAUUGUUUUUGACCUAGUCGUUUACAUUGCCCUUUCACCCAACUGGAGAUAACACAGUAAAAUCCCAGUUUUACUUUGUGUCACCAUAUUGUUACACUGAGAGAUCGUAAGUGACCAUAGGGCAGCCGUGGGAUUUCAUGACAGAGCAGGGAUCCUGAACCCUUUGAUUCAUCUUCUUUCCUCAGCUGGCAAAAGGAAGCUGCAAUCUUGAGGGCAAACACAUCUUUCUUCCCCUGAAUCAUUGGCAGCAUUCAGAUCAAUGUUUUCUUUCCUUUGCUCUUCAUCGCAAAAGUUAAGCUGCCCAGUACAAUCCUGGUUUAAAAAUACAGUCCAAAAGCCGCAGAUCUGAC
ensembl:lncRNA